rnacentral:rRNA from 1 species
GAAUCUACCUAGUAGUACGGAAUAAUUGUUGGAAACGGCAACUAAUACCGCAUUCGCCCUACGGGGGAAAAAUUUAUUGCUAUUAGAUGAGCCUAUAUUAGAUUAGCUAGUUGGUGGAGUAAUAGCCUACCAAGGCAAUGAUCUAUAGCUGAUCUGAGAGGAUGAUCAGCCACACUGGAACUGAGAUACGGUCCAGACUCCUACGGGAGGCAGCAGUGGGGAAUAUUGGACAAUGGGCGAAAGCCUGAUCCAGCCAUGCCCCCUGAGUGAAGAAGGCCUUUGGGUUGUAAAGCUCUUU